AUUGAACGCUGGCGGCAGGCCUAACACAUGCAAGUCGAACGGUAACAGGAUGAAGCUUGCUUCUUUGCUGACGAGUGGCGGACGUGUGUGUAAUGUCUGUGACACUUCCUGAUGUAGGGGGUUAUCUACUGGAAACGGUACCUAAUACCGCAUAACUUCGCCAGUCCAAAGAGGGGUACCUUCGUGCCUCUUGCCCUCGGAUGUGCCCAGGUGGGAGUUGCUAGUAGGUUGGGUAACGGCACACCUAGGCGACGAUCCCUAGCUGGUCUGAGAGGUUGACAAGGAACACUGGAACGGAGACACGGUCAAGACUCGUACGGGAGGGAGCAGUGGGGAAUAGUGCACAAUGGGCGAAAGGCGGAUGCAGCAAAGCCGCGUGUAGGAAGAAGGGCUUGGGGUUGUAAAGUAAUUUCAGCGGGGAGGAAGGGAGGAAAGGUAAUACCUUGGCGGAUUGACGGUACCCGGAGAAGAAGCACCGGCUAACUACGUG
rnacentral:rRNA from 1 species